rnacentral:rRNA from 1 species
GACGAACGCUGGCGGCGUGCUUAACACAUGCAAGUCGAACGGAAAGACCCUGCUUUUGUGGGGUGCUCGAGUGGCGAACGGGUGAGUAACACGUGAGUAACCUGCCCUUGACUUUGGGAUAACUUCAGGAAACUGGGGCUAAUACCGGAUAGGAGCUCCUGCUGCAUGGUGGGGGUUGGAAAGUUUCGGCGGUUGGGGAUGGACUCGCGGCUUAUCAGCUUGUUGGUGGGGUAGUGGCUUACCAAGGCUUUGACGGGUAGCCGGCCUGAGAGGGUGACCGGCCACAUUGGGACUGAGAUACGGCCCAGACUCCUACGGGAGGCAGCAGUGGGGAAUAUUGCACAAUGGGCGGAAGCCUGAUGCAGCAACGCCGCGUGCGGGAUGACGGCCUUCGGGUUGUAAACCGCUUUCGCCUGUGACGACGCGUGAGUGACGGUAAUGGGUAAAGAAGCACCGGCUAACUACGUG